GUUGAACAACCAUAGUAAAAGCUCUGUGGCAGUCCUCUCUGGAGAAACAAAUUGAAGGCUUGUUUGUUAAGUUUUGUAAUGCCCAUUAUUCCUGAAGUUGGUUUUGAGAUUUCCGACGAGAACUCUAUGGCUUCACCUUUUUCGAUUAACAGGGUAAUAUACUUUCAAUCGUGUUCGUACGUCUUUCAUUUUUAGUAAAGACAUGCUUUUAGAUUUUGUGCACUCAAAAAAAAAGUUAUGCAUAUGAUGUGUUGUAAUGUUGAUGUUGUAUUGUAGAAACGUAAAAAAAUAAAUAAAUAACGUGGUUCAACGGUUGAUAAAUGGACUGAUGAAGAAACAUCAAUCCUCGUAAGUGUCUUGCAUGAUGAUGCGACGAAGUCCGGAUUUAAAGGUUAUGCCAUCAGUGGUCCACGAUUAAUAGAAGUUAGGAAUGAGUUUUUUGAGAAAAUUGAAAAUCGAGAUUUCUAUUUUGCUAUAUAAAAUACAAAUUUAUGGUUAAUUUUGUAGUUUUAAAAACUUAUAGGUAUAAAUCAUAUUUCUUAAAAAAAUGAAAUAUGUUUCCCAAAUUCUAUGGCCAAACACAUGGUGAAAUUUCACCCAAAUUUUCAUCCAAAUAAUAUUUGCCAAAAAUAUUUGAAUAUCUAUGAUCAAACACUAGCUAAGUGUUCUCUUAUUACAAAUAUUCUGCGUAAGUCAUUUAUUGUAAACAUUAAUUAAUAUUAAAGCGUACUGUUAUAUGGUGUGUGCACACUUCAAAUGCAGAUUUUUUAUGUUAUGGUCUUUUUUACUUGAAUAUUAACAAAAAGCAAGCUGAUGUAACCAGACAUGAGUUAGAAUUAGCUCAUGCAGUUAGAAGGCUGUUAUAAGUUAUUUAAACAGUCAGACUAGCUGUUAAGAGAACUAACUAAUGAGCUACUGAAGAUUGUAUGUGUAUAAAUAGUACUUUCUUGUAGCAUGUAUGUAAAGUUGAAUUCAAUGAGAAUUCAGAUUUCUUCAUAGUCUUCUUCCUCUACUGUUCUUUUUCCUCUAUUUAAGAACUUAGACUUUUUAUCUAUGAAAGUUAACAUGGUAUCAAAGCCAUGAUUAGAAAUGUAGUCAUCUAGAUUAGCCUCACAAGAAGAUCAAGAUCUUCAAUGUGCUUAUCAUUCAAGAGGUGCUGGACAUAUUAAUUCAAGAUUUGAUAGACCAAAAAGUCAUCACUUUUCAGAGUGCCACCCCUAAUAUCAAUAGUAACCUCAAGCCAAAUGAUGGAGUGGUGACUAUUUAUAUGGUUGAAGUCGAAGAAGAUUUGAAUGUGGAGAAAGUUAUAAUAUCAGCUAGCCUUGAAAAUAUUGAGAAAGUUGUAGUCUCUAAAACCAAAAAAGAGAAAUCUGAAUUUGUGAUCAUGGAACCUCAUCAAGCUUUUCCAUUAGUGCCAAAAGAGGGUUAGAAUAAACAGAAAAUCGAUCAAGCUUUUCAAAAAUCAUAGACUCAUUUAUAUCAGUCUUUUCCAAUGCAAAAUUGUCUAGGAAAAGGAAUCGAAAUUUGGUUCAAAGAAGGUGAAAAUGUGCAAUAAACGGAGAACAUUUUU